AAUGAAGUGCCUGAAAUAAAAGGAUUAUCGUGAUAGGAUAAAUUAUGUAAUCAUAAAUUACCUUCAUUA
rnacentral:tRNA from 1 species